rnacentral:rRNA from 1 species
AGAGUUUGAUCCUGGCUCAGAAUCAACGCUGGCGGCGUGCCUAACACAUGCAAGUCGAACGAGAAAGGGUAGCAAUACCUGAGUAAAGUGGCGCACGGGUGAGUAACACGUGACUAACCUACCUUUUAGUGGGGGAUAACCUAGGGAAACCUGGGCUAAUACCGCAUAACACUUACGAGUCAAAGCAGCAAUGCGCUGAAAGAGGGGGUCGCGGCCGAUUAGCUAGUUGGCGGGGUAAUGGCCCACCAAGGCAGUGAUCGGUAUCCGGCCUGAGAGGGCGCACGGACACACUGGAACUGAAACACGGUCCAGACUCCUACGGGAGGCAGCAGUGGGGAAUUUUGCGCAAUGGGGGAAACCCUGACGCAGCAACGCCGCGUGGAGGAUGAAGCCCCUUGGGACGUAAACUCCUUUCGAUCGGGACGAUAAUGACGGUACCGGAAGAAGAAGCCCCGGCUAACUUCGUGCCAGCAGCCGCGGUAAUACGAGGGGGGCAAGCGUUGUUCGGAAUUAUUGGGCGUAAAGGGUGCGUAGGUGGUUCGGCAAGUCUUGUGUGAAAUCUUCAGGCUCAACUUGAAGUCUGCAUAAGAAACUGCCGGGCUUGAGUAUGGGAGAGGUGAGUGGAAUUUCCGGUGUAGCGGUGAAAUGCGUAGAUAUCGGAAGGAACACCUGUGGCGAAAGCGGCUCACUGGACCAUUACUGACACUGAGGCACGAAAGCUAGGGGAGCAAACAGGAUUAGAUACCCUGGUAGUCC